AUUGAACGCUGGCGGCAUGCCUAACACAUGCAAGUCGAACGGCAAGGCCCUUCGGGGUACACGAGUGGCGAACGGGUGAGUAACACGUGGGUGAUCUGCCCUGCACUUCGGGAUAAGCCUGGGAAACUGGGUCUAAUACCGGAUAGGACCCUGGGAUGCAUGUCCUGGGGUGGAAAGCUUUUGCGGUGUGGGAUGGGCCCGCGGCCUAUCAGCUUGUUGGUGGGGUGAUGGCCUACCAAGGCGACGACGGGUAGCCGGCCUGAGAGGGUGACCGGCCACACUGGGACUGAGAUACGGCCCAGACUCCUACGGGAGGCAGCAGUGGGGAAUAUUGCACAAUGGGCGCAAGCCUGAUGCAGCGACGCCGCGUGAGGGAUGACGGCCUUCGGGUUGUAAACCUCUUUCAGCACCGACGAAGCGCAAGUGACGGUAGGUGCAGAAGAAGGACCGGCCAACUACGUGCCAGCCGCCGCAGUAA
rnacentral:rRNA from 1 species